rnacentral:tRNA from 1 species
CAAAAAGUAGUUUAUAUAAAAUAAUAGGUUUGGAUACUAUAGAAAUCAAUAUUCUUUUUGA